AGCGAACGCUGGCGGCAGGCUUAACACAUGCAAGUCGAGCGGGCACUUUCGGGUGUCCGCGGCGGACGGGUGAGUAACGCGUGGGAACGUGCCCUCUGGUUCGGAAUAACUCAGGGAAACUUGAGCUAAUACCGGAUACGCCCUUUUGGGGAAAGGCUUGCUGCCGGAGGAUCGGCCCGCGUCUGAUUAGCUAGUUGGUGAGGUAACGGCUCACCAAGGCGCCGAUCAGUAGCUGGUCUGAGAGGAUGAUCAGCCACACUGGGACUGAGACACGGCCCAGACUCCUACGGGAGGCAGCAGUGGGGAAUAUUGGACAAUGGGCGCAAGCCUGAUCCAGCCAUGCCGCGUGAGUGAUGAAGGCCUUAGGGUUGUAAAGCUCUUUUAUCCGGGACGAUAAUGACGGUACCGGAGGAAUAAGCCCCGGCUAACUUCGUG
rnacentral:rRNA from 1 species